UUGGAUGUGUUGGUGUAAGGAGAGGAAGUGAUAACCUGACCUGGUUUCAGUGAUAACUGGAAGUUGAUUGCAAAUUAUUCCAGUAUUUCCCUGGAGUUCAGCAUCACAGGGGAGCCAGAGCCUAUCCUGGCAAGCAAUGCACGCCAGGAAGGUUACAUCCUGGGAGCGUCUCCAGUCCAUUGCAGGGCACACACUCGCACCAGGACCAGUUUUCCUGGAAGCCACUGAACCUACAAUGUCUCGACUGUGGAAGGAAAUCGGAGCACCCAUAGAAAACGCGUGCAAACACAGGCACAACACCCAAAAUCCACACAGAUGGCACACCAGGAACUGAACCGAAACUCCUAGUGGUGCCAGGCAGUAAUGCUAACCACUACACCACCAUGCCACCUAGUACCUGUUAAUUUUACUUCAUUCUUUGCUGUAUCAUGAUCUAUUUUGCAAUACUUUGGAAUGGUGUUCACCCUAAAAAGUGCUCAACAAAUUCAUAAUUGAUUGCAUAUGCUGUAAGUCAGUUAUGCACAUGACACUUAUACACAAGCUAUUAAUGAACCGAAUUGUCUGUCUGUUGGGUUCCAUGUUGCUUCAUAAUCCCAUUUGUCCAUCUGAUGAAAUUAAUGCAAUGCUGAUUUGUUUCAGUUUGUCACUUUUUUGUUUUGAAGCUGGAAAAAUGUAUCUGUUCACCAUAAAGAUCUGUUUUAAUGUAAUCCAAUAAAACUUUAUUCUUUUUCAUGGUGUUUUGCAGUUUCAAAACUGGUCUAUACAGUAGUAUAUUGGACAAAAUGAAUUGUUCCAACACUUUCAUAAAUGAAAGCAUUUCGUAUGUUUGUGUGUAUCCAGUUAUCCAUUUAGAUUGUUGGGAAAUUGAUUUACACGUGCUUAUUGCCAUCUGCCUUACUCCUGUUGGUGAAGUUUAGCUCUUCCCCCCCACACCGUUAGUGUAUAUCUGGGUGGCUGCUAUCUGCCCUUUAAGAAGUAUUCAUGUCUUGAUUUGUAUGUCUACAAAUCUAUUAAAAUCCAUGUUUAUAAGGAGAUACUGAUAAAACCCCCAAAACUGAAUACCUUCAAUUUUGUCCUGCCUCCCUAUCCUAAAACUACCUUUCUUGCUCUGUAAUAUGUGAGAAUACAUCCAUUGUAUUUUCUUAUUCUGUGGUUUUAGCUUUUCAUUUUCAUUAAG